rnacentral:rRNA from 1 species
AGAGUUUGAUCCUGGCUCAGGACGAACGCUGGCGGCGUGCUUAACACAUGCAAGUCGAGCGAUGAAGUUUCUUCGGAAAUGGAUUAGCGGCGAACGGGUGAGGAACACGUGAAGAAUCUGCCCUCCACUUUGGGAUAACACCGGGAAACCGGUGCUAAUACCGAAUAUUGAAACAUAAGUGGCAUCACUGAGUUUUGAAAGAAUUUCGGUGGAGGAUGACUUCGCGGCCUAUCAGCUAGUUGGUGAGGUAAUGGCUCACCAAGGCAACGACGGGUAGCCGGCCUGAGAGGGCGACCGGCCACACUGGGACUGAGACACGGCCCAGACUCCUACGGGAGGCAGCAGUGGGGAAUAUUGGGCAAUGGAGGAAACUCUGACCCAGCGACGCCGCGUGCGGGAUGAAGGCCUUCGGGUUGUAAACCGCUUUCAGUAGGGAAGAAGCGAAAGUGACGGUACCUACAAAAGAAGCACCGGCUAACUAUGUGCCAGCAGCCGCGGUAAUACAUAGGGUGCAAGCGUUGUCCGGAAUUAUUGGGCGUAAAGAGCUCGUAGUCGUUUGUUACGUCGGAUGUGAAAACCUGAGGCUCAACCUCAGCCUGCAUUCGAUACGGGCAAACUAGAGUUUGGUAGGGGAGACUGGAAUUCCUGGUGUAGCGGUGGA